rnacentral:lncRNA from 1 species
NNNNNNNNNNNNNNNNNNNNNNNNNNNNNNNNNNNNNNNNNNNNNNNAGAACAGAGGCCUCAGAAAUAACACCACACAUUUACAACCAUCUGAUCUUUGACAAACCUGACAAAAACAAGCAAUGGGGAAAGGAUUCCCUAUUUAAUAAAUGAUGUUGGGAAAACCACCUACCCCCAUUUCCACUAUCUCCAUCGUACAACACUCUGCUUAUCAUAGUUGUUCAAGCACUUUAAGGCAAAUCCACUGAGUUCACACAAGUAUCCAUCAACUGAUGAAGGGAUAAAAAUAAAAUGUGGCAUAUCUGUACAAUGGAAUAUUAUUAAUCAAUAAAAGGGAUUGAAGGACUAAUCCAUGCUACAACAUGGUGAACCUUGAAAAGUAAAAGAAACCAGUCAAAAAAGAACAUAUAUUGUAUGAUUCCAUUUAUAUAAAAUGUCCAGAAUAGGCAAAUCUAUAAAGACACAAAGUAGAUUAUUGGUUGCCUAGGGCUGGAACGGGGAGCAGUGAAGGGGAGUGAUUGCUAAUGGGUACAGGGUUUUCUAGGGAGGUGAUGAAAAUAUUCUAAAAUUGGUAGUUAUGAUGGUUACACAACUCUGUAAAUAACAGAAAGCCAUAUAAUUGUAUACUUUAAGUAGGUGAGUUAUAUGGCAUGUAAAUUAUAUCUCAAUGAAGUUAUUUAAAAAGAUUUAUACCAAGAAAAUAUUAAUCUAAAAAGCUGAAGUGGCAUAAUUUUGAUGCCACUUCAAUAAUGAUACUUUCCUUCUAAAAAAUUUUUAGAACAAAGAUUAUAUCAUGAGUAAAGAAAGACUUCACAAUGAAAAAGGGAUCAAUGUAUCAAAACAAUAAAAAAUCCUAAAAGCAUAUGCAUAUGAUAGUAAAGCUUCAAAAUAACUGAAGCAAAAACUGAUAAUUUGUGGAGAAAUAGACAUAUCCACAAUUAUAACUGGGGAUAAAUAAUCCUUUCUCAAUAACAUAAAGGGGAAGUAGAGAGAAAAUCAGGAUAUAGAAUGCUUGAGCAACAUAAUAAUCAACUUGAACUAAUUGCUAUAAAGAAAGCUUCACACAACAAAAGUAGAACACAUUCUUUUCAACUACACAUGAAAUAUUCACCAAGAUAG